UGUCAAAUGGAAAAGUGCCAUUGCAGUCAUAUAUCAAUCAGGGCAGCAGCAGCAGCAGCUCGCUGGCAAAUGGGAAUUCCACAGAAAUGUGAAGCUCUUGUUAUCUGAGAAAUCAAAAACACCACCAGCCAAGCUCCCUUCUCCAGGGACUUCUUAUUAUUGGCAAGCCAAGAAAUAGAAGGAAAUGUAGGCGCUUUUUUAAUUGCUGUUAUUGUUUCAGAUCUGGAGAUAAGGACGCUGUGGCAUGUGUAAGCGAGUGGAAUAUAAAUCCUGAAUUAAAUUCCUUCCUAAACAAAUGGACCAUGUGCAAGAUAAAGCAAACCACUGAGAAACAAGUUUUUCUUAGGCUUUUUUUAACUGUGAUUGAUCUCAGAUAGCGUUAAUUCAAGAUAUGCUGCUUCACUACAAUUGGUCGACUAAAUCAUCUGGCAUUCUCUGGCUCUCCAGUUAGGCUGCUGAAAGAUGGAGUGCCUCUUCCCCAGAAGAGACUGUUGUUACUGUGAUCCUUGUCCCCAUCCCCUUUGGAGCAACUGUCUGCACCUCUCUGAUGUCCUUUGUCACUAUUUUAUGCCUAAUGGAGAAAGAGAAAAGCUGCUGUGUUUCCCUGAAUUUUAACAGCAUGGAUCAACUGUUCUGCAGACAAUUGUAAAGGCAGCCACCUUGCUCAAACGUUGGAAUCAUUUAUCACCUGUCAUGAAGGAGAGUCUCUUGGCAUCCCCCUGUGCAGUAAGAUAUGCUUUGAUCUCAAAGCAUUCUAUCUACGGUGUAGUAAGACAAAGCACCACCUGCUAUGAAGCUUGACAGACUAUAUAAAAUAUAAUUUAUGUACAUUACCAUCUUGUCUGACAUAAAAGAAUCACAUAAGAGAACAAGAAGCAAAAAAAUGUUGUAACUGUAGUCGCAGGCACAAAUAUCUUUAAUUUAUGACAGACUUAAUAAAAUAGGUUUUCUUCCAAAUACACAACUCUUUCCAGGAGCUGUGCAGUGACUUCAUUUAUAUGUUCUUAAAUGAAAAGAAUGCCUGUAGUCAAUACAGUGAAAUGAAAAAUUGAAAUAUAAAAUGAAAAAUAAAAAUAUCCAGAAGAUCUGA